AGUUCCUCAUAUUCAAGGAUGGUUAGGCUUUGUAGGUGUGUUUUAUGAUUUUGGGAUAUUAAAGUGCGAAUUGUGAAAUUUAAUUAAAAAAAUAAUUUAACCUAAUGACAAGAAUUAAAGUACAAGAAAAAUAGAUCAAGGCAUUUAAUAAACAUAAAAUAAAGCAAGAUAGAAAUAAUAGUGAUAAGAAUGAUAAACUAAAUUAAACUUAAUGAAAAUUUG
rnacentral:lncRNA from 1 species